UACGGAGGGCGCGAGCGUUGUCCGGAAUCACUGGGCGUAAAGGGCGCGUAGGCGGCCUGAUAAGUAGGGGGUGAAAUCCUGCGGCUUAACCGCAGGGCUGCCUUCUAAACUGUCAGGCUCGAGCACAGUAGAGGCAGGUGGAAUUCCCGGUGUAGCGGUGGAAUGCGUAGAGAUCGGGAAGAACAUCAGUGGCGAAGGCGGGUCUCUGGGCCGAUACUGACGCUGAGGAGCGAAAGCGUGGGGAGCAAACAGG
rnacentral:rRNA from 1 species